rnacentral:misc_RNA from 1 species
GUGAAUCAUCGAAUUUUUGAACGCAAAUUGCGCUUCCUGGCAUCCCGGGAAGUAUGCCUGUUUGAGGGUCAGUUUUAACAAAAAACCGGUUUGGUUGCAACUUGUGACGUUUCCGACGUGUGGUCUAUCUUAACUUUUUCGGUUAAGGGGCUUAAAAUUGACCUUAUUUUCGCUCUUUUAGACGUACAUAAUUUUUUUUUUUUUUUCGUUUUUU